UACGUAGGGACCGAGCGUUGUCCGGAAUCAUUGGGCGUAAAGCGCGCGUAGGCGGCUCUUUAAGUCUGGUGUGAAAGGUUCAGGGCUUAACCCGAACAGUGCACUGGAUACUGGAGAGCUUGAGUUAGGGAGAGGAGAGUGGAAUUCCUGGUGUAGCGGUGAAAUGCGUAGAUAUCAGGAGGAACACCGGUGGCGAAGGCGGGUCUCUGGGCCACUACUGACGCUGAGAAGCGAAAGCAUGGGGAGCGAACAGG
rnacentral:rRNA from 1 species